AUUGCCAUUGAAUUGGGAAUCUCCAAGAAAGCUUUGUUGGUUAACCAGCAAGUACUGGAGUCUACGCUUCUUCACAUACCUAGUGCUGGGACUGUGAAAAGAUUCUAGCAGAAUCCUCUUCAAAGAGAUCAGAGAGACCUCAUCCAGCAACUAAUGGGAGCAUAUACAAAGUCCACAGCCAAACAUUAAGUAGAGCUGAGGAGUCCUUCGAAGGACAGGAAGAGUUGAAGGAACCAGAGGGGUCAGGGAUGCCACAAGAACAUGGCUGACAGAAUCAACUGAUCAAGACUCAUGGAUGUUCCCAGAGAUCAAGAAGCCUAUAGGGGUCUGACCUAGGUCCUCCUCUUCUUGUAUGCUAUGGGCAAACAAAUGGAACUAGAAGAAACCAUCUUGAGUGCGGUAACCCAGUCACAAAAUAACAAAAAUGGCAACAAUAAGGUUUGAACCCUGAGCAUUCCUCAUUUUAUGGAAGUAUUCUACAGACAACCUACAAGUCCUGCCAGCUUUCCACCUAUUAAUGAGACUGCAAUGGUGCCUCCUCAAGAAGAGCUUAUAGGAUUAAUGUCUCUUUAUUUCAGAGGACAGCAAGGUGAAACACAGGCCAGAGCUAGGUUAUAGAACCCAGCCAGCGCGGCCAGAA